rnacentral:rRNA from 1 species
UACGUAGGGUGCGAGCGUUAAUCGGAAUUACUGGGCGUAAAGCGUGCGCAGGCGGUUUGCUAAGACCGAUGUGAAAUCCCCGGGCUUAACCUGGGAACUGCAUUGGUGACUGGCAGGCUAGAGUAUGGCAGAGGGGGGUAGAAUUCCACGUGUAGCAGUGAAAUGCGUAGAGAUGUGGAGGAAUACCGAUGGCGAAGGCAGUCCCCUGGGCCAAUACUGACGCUCAUGCACGAAAGCGUGGGGAGCAAACAGG